CAGAGGCUCGUUCACGUACUCAUCCUCUGCCUUUGGUGGCCCGUUGGAGGCGUUAUGAUAUUCAGGGUUAUCCAGGGCUUGAAGAUCACCGUUCUUUCGCCGAGAAACGAAAGGAUUCUCUUCAACAGGGUUCAGGGAACUCAAAGCUAUUGUUUUUGUUCUCCUGAAUUCCUACCGUGACGGAUUAUGAUCACUAUGACAACAGGAGGAAAAGGCAGGUGUCCCGUUGUGCACUUUGGUGUAAACCCGUAAGAUGAAGAGAAGCCUGUCUGGGAGUGUUGAGGGACCUCAAAAUACUGAGAACUUGGGAUUCAGCUCCAAAAGAUAUCCAGUACACUCAUGGUUUCUCUAUCUCAACUACUUAUGAAAACAGUCUCUGAAGGAUGCUACAUAUUGGGAAUUAGUUGAAAUAUAUACCUGAAGAGUCACCUGCCCACCAGCGAACAUACUGGGUUUUGUUUUCUUGAAGCACGCCCACUCCCACUGGAAAGCAUCAAGAAAGAGUCAACUAAUAGGAGGUGCCGUUGGAAUUGGUGCCCAGAUGUUGCCGUUUGAAGGUCUCAUCUUAAUCUUGUGUGCAGGCUGGAAUUCUUUCUCUACCAAAUAUUGAUUUGGUAGUUUUGCAGAGCAAGAAUUUUCCUCAAUGUGGCAAGAUAGCAGAGAGGGUGACAAAAGAGGCUCCUUCCAGAGAUGUAAGUCUGGUGGUGGCAUAUAGGGGUGCCAGGUGCACAAGCAAGAAGGAGCCAUCAAUUACUUCAAGGUUUUAUUUUCCCAGUUUUCCCAUGGAAUUGUUAUGUUCCAAAUGGCAUGUGUAGUAGUUAUAUAAAAAACUUUGAAAGUAAAUUAUCUUAUCUCUAAGAAUUUAAUAUAUAAUUACUUAACAUAAAAAUAAUUAGGAUUUUGUUUUAUGUUUUUAUGUCUUCAGUGUCUAGUUCAGAAUAAAUGCUUAUUGAUGACCACCUUUUGUCUUGGGUGUGUUUCAUAUUUCUGGAGACUCUAUACCUAUAUUUAAACAUUACACCAACAUAAAAAGACACUUUGGUAUAACAGAGAAGCAGUAUGGUAUAACAGAAAAAAUAGAGAAUUUAAGAGACAAAAGACUUGGGUUCAAAACCCAGCUAAGACAAAUCAUGUCAAGAAGCAUUUUCUUUGAAAGUGUAUCUCCUCUUAUCCAGCCUGAAAAUACCACAGAAACUCAUGACCCAGUCCCAGUUAUGAUGGGAAGCUUUUUUUUUCCUGCUCCAUUUUUCUAACAUGAGCCAUUUUGCUACUCUUUGGACACUCUGGUAGGUCUUUCUUCUGGGUGGCUUACCAUAUUAAUUGUGAAUUUAGUGUGGAUGCUCUCAGAGUCUAUGGCUUUAUUGCAGCUCAGAAUUUUUGAACACCAGAGAUUUGGUUAUAGCAAGGAUGAUAGGACUGUGCCACAAUACUUGACCAAGUAACAUUUAUUAAGCAUCUACUAUGUGCCAAGCAUUGUGCUAAGUGCUGAUGUAUGCAAGGAAAUAUAAAAGUUUAUUCCUGCCUUCACGGAGUGUAGAGGUCACUUUCAGCUCCCUCAUCAGAAAAAUUAAUAGGUCAGACUGAGUGCCCUCAAAAGUCCCUGCCAGCUCUCAUAUGCUAUGAUUUCCUGUCCCAAUGUGUUCCCUGGCUAAAUUAUGAUGGGAAAAACUGCUGUGGAUGGCCCAGACUAUGAUACACUGAAAAAUCUAAGCUGAGAGAUUGAGCAGUGAGAUGGUUAUUAAAAAUGUGCUGUGAUGCUUUGUACUUUGUCUGUGGAGGUAAGGGAAGAUUCUCUAUCUUAAAAUGACCCAAUAUUUUAUAGAACAAAUCAAAGAAAUCAGAGAUGCCUAAGAGCGCCCAUUUCAAUAGACUGCCUGAAAAGCCAUUAGGCAUAUUGUGAACAUUACCUAUUUAUCUGGGGAGAAUUUAUUUCCUUUUUCUAUCCCUAUCUGUUCCUGGACCUCCAUUGCCCUUUGUGGAUGUGUAGUCAAGAAAAGUCAUAAUAGUUUUGUUAGUUAGAAGGACU